GCCAGCUUGGUGCAGUGGUUUGAGCGUUGGGCUGCAACUCUGGAGAUCAGGGUUCAAUUCCCUGCUCAGUCG